AACGAACGCUGGCGGCAUGCCUAACACAUGCAAGUCGAACGAGACCUUCGGGUCCAGUGGCGCACGGGUGCGUAACGCGUGGGAACCUGCCCUUAGGUUCGGAAUAACUCCCCGAAAGGGGUGCUAAUACCGGAUAAUGUCUUCGGACCAAAGAUUUAUCGCCUUUGGAUGGGCCCGCGUUGGAUUAGCUAGUUGUUAGGGUAAAAGCCUACCAAGGCGACGAUCCAUAGCUGGUCUGAGAGGAUGAUCAGCCACACUGGGACUGAGACACGGCCCAGACUCCUACGGGAGGCAGCAGUGGGGAAUAUUGGACAAUGGGCGAAAGCCUGAUCCAGCAAUGCCGCGUGAGUGAUGAAGGCCUUAGGGUUGUAAAGCUCUUUUACCCGGGAUGAUAAUGACAGUACCGGGAGAAUAAGCUCCGGCUAACUCCGUG
rnacentral:rRNA from 1 species